rnacentral:rRNA from 1 species
UGGGGAAUAUUGCACAAUGGGCGCAAGCCUGAUGCAGCCAUGCCGCGUGUGUGAAGAAGGCCUUCGGGUUGUAAAGCACUUUCAGCGGGGAGGAAGGCGUUAAGGUUAAUAACCUUGGCGAUUGACGUUACCCGCAGAAGAAGCACCGGCUAACUCCGUGCCAGCAGCCGCGGUAAUACGGAGGGUGCAAGCGUUAAUCGGAAUUACUGGGCGUAAAGCGCACGCAGGCGGUCUGUCAAGUCGGAUGUGAAAUCCCCGGGCUCAACCUGGGAACUGCAUUCGAAACUGGCAGGCUAGAGUCUUGUAGAGGGGGGUAGAAUUCCAGGUGUAGCGGUGAAAUGCGUAGAGAUCUGGAGGAAUACCGGUGGCGAAGGCGGCCCCCUGGACAAAGACUGACGCUCAGGUGCGAAAGCGUGGGAGCAAACAGG